rnacentral:rRNA from 1 species
UGAGAAUGUGCCUUCGGGAACCGUGAGACAGGUGCUGCAUGGCUGUCGUCAGCUCGUGUUGUGAAAUGUUGGGUUAAGUCCCGCAACGAGCGCAACCCUUAUCCUUUGUUGCCAGCGGUCCGGCCGGGAACUCAAAGGAGACUGCCAGUGAUAAACUGGAGGAAGGUGGGGAUGACGUCAAGUCAUCAUGGCCCUUACGACCAGGGCUACACACGUGCUACAAUGGCGCAUACAAAGAGAAGCGACCUCGCGAGAGCAAGCGGACCUCAUAAAGUGCGUCGUAGUCCGGAUUGGAGUCUGCAACUCGACUCCAUGAAGUCGGAAUCGCUAGUAAUCGUGGAUCAGAAUGCCACGGUGAAUACGUUCCCGGGCCUUGUACACACCGCCCGUCACACCAUGGGAGUGGGUUGCAAAAGAAGUAGGUAGCUUAACCUUCGGGAGGGCGCUUACCACUUUGUGAUUCAUGACUGGGGUGAAGUCGUAACAAGGUAACCGUAGGGGAACCUGCGGUUGGA